CCGCGUGCAUCCGCAAUCCAAGACUUCCUGCAGUGCCGCCUGCUCUGGGACGCGCAGACCAAGUGCAUGGGCUACCGCGCGCUGCUGCGGGCGGUCAAGUCGUGGCCCGCCAGCCACCCAUGGCGCGAGCUCAUCCGCCGCACGUGAGGGCAGGGGCGCUGCCCCUUCCUGCUGGGCUCCCUGGGGCCCAGCAGGCCGAGAGCGCCGGGCGGCUGGCGGCGCUGGCGGCACUGUAGGCGCACGAGCACAGCGACAUGCUGCAGCGGGCCUUCGGCCACACCUUCCUCAGCCCCACGCUCCAGCACCUGCUCUACUGCCCCGCCGAGCGCCGGCCGCGCGCACGCUUCCGGCUCAGCCGCGGCGACGAUGUCUCCGCGCACACCGCGGACGUGCUCCGCUUCCUGCAGACGCGGCAACCGGGCCGCCCCCUCCUCGCCGGGCAGCUCCUGGCCCGCUCGGUGCCGGUCCGCGACGGCUGCAGCAAGUCCUUUGCGCCCCCGCGGCUCUACUCCCGGCAGACCUACCGGCUGCCCAGCCCCGCGCGAGGCUCCCCGCCACAGCCCGCUCUUCCCCAUCGGGAUGCCUACAGGGGCACGUGUCUGAAGCGCGCCAGCCGGCGCCCGGCAGUCCUCCUUCCACCCCUGCCUGCGCCGCGAGCUGCGGCCUGUGCACCGCUGUGCGCCCUAUGAGAUGCUGCUCAAGUGGAAGGCGCCGUUCGAGCCGGGGGUGAGCUGGACCAGGGUCCUGAGGACCAGCGGGAGGGUGAGCAGCCCCCACACGAGACGCUUUCCGCGCUGAGAACGCAUCUUCCCUGCUCUGUAUGCCUUCUAUCCCCCACCCCAGCUCAGUGCACCCGAAUCCGAACCUGGCUACACAAUGGAAUCACCAGGGCGGGGGUGGGAAAGGCAUGGGGCCUGGCCCCACUUCCACAGUUUCUGACUCUUUCCGUCCGGGGUGUCCUCAGACAUCUAGGUGAUCCGAAUGUGCAGCUAUUCGGAAUGAAGCCCACUGGGCAAGGGAGGUCUGUUAUCCUUCCAAACCCAGCUCCCUUGCCCCCCUCCAGGAGCCUGCGGGUCUAGCUCCCGCACUGAGUCAAUGGGGCCAGUGGAGCAAGGCCAUGUGAGGAGCCAGGAUGGAACGUCACCUGUUGGGUGCGGUACACGGAUACUACACUUGAUCUUAGCCAAAAGGCGGAGAAGCGAUGGGGUGCGGUACACUGGUGGUCAUUGCCAUCAUUCGUUCGCCUAGUGAGUACAGAUGGGGCCGAACCGCCAGUCAGCAGGUGGAUCCCCUCCCCUAGAAGUCAGUUCACACUUGGGCCCUGGAAAGCAGCCAGAUCAGAGGUUGGGGUGUGUGUGUGUGUAGACAGUCUUCCUCCCACCCAGUUCUCUCUACCACUUCCCCCACCCCUGCAAUACCUCUGUGAGGUCAAAAUCCCCACUGUGCAAAGGGGGACCCUGAGGCUCACCGAGGACAGUGAUCCAGGGCCAUGUGGUCAUUCCCAGUUAUCCCACCACUGUGGUCCUCUCCACACUCACUGACUCCAGCUGAUGGCCUCUUCUAAUGGCCUUGCCCAUGCACACCUGCCCCAACAGCACUUACUCCCAGGAUGGGGGGAAUGGCACGGGGGCACAGACAGGCUCCUUGUCAGGUCUGGGCCUCAGAGUUGGUCAGCCUUGGGGAACCAAGCUGGGGACUCAGGGGGGGUCAGCGUGGGGGUCAAUGAUGAUGAAACUGUGAAAGAUGCUGACUGGGAAAUGUGGACAGUAUUUGGAAAGCGUGUGGAGGUCAAUGUACAGAACUGUGUUGGGAGAGUGCAGGGGUGAUUGGCUCUGUCGUGAACAUCAGUUAGGAGGCUGGGGGGUCAGUGAUCAGGACUCUGAGAAUCGGGCUGUGGUCCUGACCGCCAGGAGCUGUCAGCCAUCUUGGCAGAGCAGGAAGAUCAAGGAAACAGCUUCAGGGUGAGGCAGAAAUGUGUAUCAAGGUCCCAGCCUGACAAGAGGGACACAACUUCAAGAAGGAAGGAGCCCCAGUGGGAAGUCAGGAGGCCGACCAAACGCCUUCCCUGCCCUCAGGACGAGGCCCAUCCCUCCCCUAUGGUGGACUCGAUUUGGGCAGUACCACAAGCAGUGUCUUGCUUUGUGGGGCUCCCUCCUGCCUCUCCCUCUCCACACAAGCUCUCAUCCCUUCACAGGAAAUACCUUCCAACCGCCACCACCAUCCAUGUCUCUCGAGGCAUUUAGGAAGUUGCCAGCUCUCCGCCAAAAUCUGCUAUUCCCUCCCUCCUGGGCGCACACCACUGCCUGGGAGCCUACACUGCCCAGCUUUCGUUGCAAUUCGCCAUGACCCUGUGACCAGGCUUUCUAGGAUGACUGCUUGUAGACACCAUGAGGAGCACACCUGAACCCUGCCUCGCCUGGGCUCACCUCCCUGGAUUGGCCCAGGGAUGGGCCUGUGACCCAGCUCUGACCUCGCAGAUGAGGACAACACUCCAGGCCCACCUCCAAACAAAGAGCUGCUCUACCCAAGAUGUCAAUAGUGCUGAGGUUGAGAAAACUCUUCCUCUCUACAAGGACCUGGAGUCAACCCUGGAUCUCCAACAGGCCUUGACCCAACUCCUGAUGCGGUAGCCAACUGCCUCAGGAGUCACCUCAGCUUGAGUGUGCCGCAGCCACACCUCAGGCCUGCCUCCCCAACCAUGCUCCCAUCUCAGGAAAGGGCCCUAUCAUCUCCUGACUGGUCCACGCCAGAAGGUGGGCGGUGAUGAUGCAUCUCCAACUCUCCUCCCUCAUAGCCCAUCUGGUCCAACACCAAGUUCCAUUGAUUCAAAACAGCUCUCCAGUCAGUUCUUUCUCAUCUAUCCAUCUUCUCCGUGGUACCAACUCUCACAUGGGCCAGAGCCACCUAGGGAUCCAAUCUCUGCCCUACAGUAGCCAAAAGCCAGAUCUGGUCAUCAAUUGGCCCCUCUCAAAAUCUAGCCCUGUUGCCCUUGGAUAAAGAGCAAAUGCUUUUCCCUGCCUUCAGGACAAGGCCCAUUCCUCCCCUAUGGAGGAAUCUGCAUUCCUUUGACCCCUCCAUCUUGAUUUCUCCCCACUCUGCUGGGGCCUCUUGAGGUUCAGUGCAUUCUCUCUGGCCCCUGGGCCUUCCACCAUGCUGCUUCCUUGCCUGAAACAUUUUUCUACUCUCGCUUUGUCUUUUAAAAAGUAUUUUAUUUAUUUAUUUGACAGAGAGAGAAAGAGCACAAAAAGGAUUGGCAGGCAGAGGGGAGAAGCAGGCCCCCUGCUGAGCAAGGAGCCCAAUGGGGGACUCGAUCCCAGAAUCCUGGGACCAUGACCUGAGCUGAAGGAAGAUGCUUAACCCACUGAGCCACCCAGGCACCUCCCCUGUCCUACCUCUUCCCCACCCCUACUCCUCUUCCUUCAUCUGACAGAACCUUCAGAUGCAAGAUGAAAUGUCACUUCUUUGGAAAAGCCCUUCCCAACCCACUAGUCCUGGGGCACAGGGUUUCUCAACAGGAUGGGUCCUUACACUCUAUCUUGUUCUAGCUCUGAAUUCCCCAGAACCCUCUCAUCUGCAUCCCCACAUUGCCACAAAGCCAGCUGCUUAAACCCAUGCAGAUUUAUUCUCUUACAGUUCUGCAGGUCAGAAGUCCAACACAAGCUUCACCGACUUAAAACCAAGGUGUCAGCAGGACUGUAUUCCUUUCUGGAGCUCAGGGGUGAAUCUCCUUUCCUGGCCUCUUUCACCAAUUCUGACUCUCCUGCUCCUCCUGCUUUUAGGGACCCUUGUGAUCACAUUGGGCCACUUGGAUAAUCCACUCGGAUCAUCCACGAUUAUCUUCCUAUCUUAAAAUCAACUCAUCAGCAACAUUCAUUCCCCCUGCAACCUUAAUUCCCUUUCCCCUUGUAACCUAAACUAUUUGUAAGCUCCAGGGGUGAGGGUGUGGACAUAUCUUGGGGGUCAUUAUCCUGCCUACCAGUGCCUAAUAAAUAUUUGUUCAAUACGUGAACAAUGAUUAAAUAAUCAACUAAAACUAAUAAAUGGACAAAUGUUCUCCCUUCACACAGACCUCCCUGAGGCAGAGUCUCAAUGCUGGAUUCCCUUCUCCCUAGGGCUUGUAACAGACAAGAAAACCAGAAUGCUGAGGCCAGGAGUGGACACCUUCCUUAUUUACUAGAAAGUCUGACUUCUGUGCUUUGACAACUUCCUCCUGUUUUCCUGACAAGCAGAUGGACUAUCCCACCCUCCCUUUACAAGUAAAGAGAUUAAGAAUCAGGAAAUUUAUAGCUCAGAAGGGUUAGAACUCUGUAGUUAUGGGCCUGCUGUGUCACUCUGGGUCCUGGUCAUCCCUUCUCUGAAGCUGAGCUGCUCUUGUCACCAGGCCCAGUGAAGACCAGCGUCCGGCAGCGCCCGGGCACCCCCUGGCGUCAUCUGGUCCUCAAGCGCGCCCAGCUACCACUCACCCCGCCCGGCCCUUCAGGCUCUUGCGCCCUACAGCCGCGAGGGGGCGCUCCUCGCACACAGUUUCUGCGGGGAGGCUGGCGGCUUGUUCCUGGAUCGGUGAAAUUCUGGGUCACGGGGACGGUGAUCCCACCAUUACCCCACCAGUGCUAAUUGACAAAGACCACAUAAGCAGAGAAAACAAUGGGCCUGUCUCACAAACGCGCUUGCGAAAUCCUACAUAAAAUACCAACAGACUGAGCGUGACAACAUGUAAAAAAGGAAAAUGUAUCAGCAUCUGGAUGGGUUUAUCCCAGGAAUUCCAGGUGCGUUUAUUUAGCAUUAGAAAAGCAAUCGCGGUGAAUGGAUAGAAAAGGAAGAUGUGUCAGUGUGGCACGUCAGAUCAAGAGAAAUGUGUCUCUGGUGCAGGAGAAAAAAUUGGAUAAAAUUCAACACCCAUUCGUGACUCACUCACUCCCUUCCUUCUUUCCUUCACCCUCCUUCCCUCCCUCCCUUCCUUUCUUUCUUCUUUC